CGAGUUAGAGAGAAGGAGCAUGUUCAACUGCAGGAGCAGAGCGGAGCAAUGCCUAAAUCAAAGGAACUCGUUUCUUCAACCUCUUCUGGCAGUGAUUCUGACAGUGAGGUUGACAAAAAGUUAAAGAGGAAAAAGCAAGUUGCUCCAGAAAAACCUGUAAAGAAGCAAAAGACUGGGGAAACUUCCAGAGCUCUGUCAUCUUCCAAACAGAGCAGCAGCAGCAAAGAUGACAACAUGUUUCAGAUUGGGAAAAUGUGGUAUGUUAGUGUUCGGGACUUUAAAGGGAAAGUUCUAGUUGAUAUUAGAGAAUAUUGGAUGGACCCAAAAGGUGAAAUGAAGUCAGGAAGAAAUGGUAUUUCUUUUAAACCAGAGCAGUGGAGCUAGCUGAAAGAACAGAUUUCUGACAUUGAUGAUUCAGUAAGAAAACUGCAAAAUCCGAGCCAUGUUAAAUCUAUACUGUUCUUGUUUUAUUCUGUCUUUUUGAAUUGACUUUUGUUUUCUAAAUGUUGUUCUCCAAGCUAUUGCAUGUUUGGAUUGCAGAACAAUUUGUAAGAUGAAUACUUUUUUAAAAUGUGCUUUAUUAAAAAUGUUCUGAGUGAAACUAAUUGUCAAUUUUAUUAAGGAAGAUUGCUUUGUGCCCACCACCUAGUGUAAAAUAAAAUCAAGUAACACA